rnacentral:rRNA from 1 species
CUACGGGAUGCACCAGUGAGGAAUAUUGCACAAUGGAGGAAACUCUGAUGCAGCAACGCCGCGUGGAGGAUGACGCAUUUCGGUGUGUAAACUCCUUUUAUAUGUCAAGAAAAUGACGGUAGCAUAUGAAUAAGCACCGGCUAACUCCGUGCCAGCAGCCGCGGUAAUACGGAGGGUGCAAGCGUUACUCGGAAUCACUGGGCGUAAAGGACGCGUAGGCGGGAUAUCAAGUCAGGUGUGAAAUCCUACAGCUUAACUGUAGAACUGCACUUGAAACUGGUAACCUAGAGUAUGGGAGGGGGAGAUGGAAUUAGUGGUGUAGGGGUAAAAUCCGUAGAUAUCACUAGGAAUACCUAAAGCGAGGGUGAUCUCCUGGAACAUAACUGACGCUAAGGCGUGAAAGCGUGGGGAGCAAACAGGAUUAGAUACCCGAGUAGUC